CUUUGUCUCCUGUGACCUUAACGCCUUAAUCCACUGAUCCUAACGCGGUUCCACUCCUUAAUAUGGGGCGUGGAUGAAGCACUCUAAGGAGGCCCUGACAUUCUCAUCAUCGAGGUGUCUUUUAAGCCUGUGGUUUUAGGAUGACCUCUUUCAGCAUGGUACCAUCAGACUCCUGUUCAGCUGGUUGCAGCAAGCUUCAGAUGACCUCCUCUUACCCUCUUGUCACCUCAGUGACAGAAGUGCCAAAGAUAAGGCAUGCAAACCAGAAACACAAGGGUCUAGAGCCAGCAGUGAGAAGAGUGGACAAGCAAGUGACAGGGCCAUAAACUAACUCACUCUUUCAACUUAGACUUAAGUGAACAAACCUCUUCCGUUGGGCUUGAUCAGCCACUCGAUGACUCCACCCACGGCCACUGCUGCCUCCUUCAUCCACUAGUGGGCCAGUUUCACAGGCCCACGCUCUGUCUUCAAUUUCUUAAUUUUCUCUUGAGCCUAUCUUUCCUCUAAGUGAAGUCUGCUGGGAAAACUGAAUAUGCACAUAAGCAGAAAAGUCAUGUGGACAAAAAGAGAAAACUCUGCAUUUUUGUACCUUUAAGAGGGGAGAGAAAUACUUUCUGUUAUAUAUGCAAGCUAGGGAGACCCAUUAGGUAAGAAGCUAUUCAAGAUGGUUUUCCUUGUUAGCCUAGGCUAGCCUUCAACUCCCUAUGUAGCUGAUGAUUACCUAGAAUUUCCGAUCGACCUGCCUUUACCACCCAAGUGUUGUUAUUACAGGCAUGGGCCAUGUCACCCAGUUUUGUUCAUGGCAAUUCUCCAGUUUUUCUACAGACAUCAAUUUGCUGUCUUAAAAUUUAAUCCAGCUCUGGCAGAGUUGGAGCCUUGGUGCCAACCCUACAGGGGAAGGCCAGACUUGCCAGACUGCCCCUGUUUCAGGUCCCCAACACAACAAGGUGGACUUCCCUUUUGACUUACGACUGAGGGAAGCCAGGGCAAGAACUCAAGGCAGCAACCUGAAAAAAAAAAAAAAAAGAACUCGAAGCAGAAGCCAUGGAGGACCACAGCUUGCUGACUUCCUUCCCCUAGCUUUUCCUGCUUGCUUUCUUACACAGCUCAGGCCCGCCUGCCUAGGGAUGGCACUGUUUACAAUGGGCUGGGCCCUUCUGUAUCAAUUAGCAAUUAAGAAAAUGCCUCACAGACAUGGCCACAGGCCAAUCUGAUGGAGGCAGUUUUUCAGUCGAGGUUCCUCUUCCCAGGUGACUGUAGGGUUGUGCCAACUUGACAGCUGAAGCUAAUUAUGACACUUACUAUCACCGGUUUAUGAUAAAGGGCACAGCUCCAAAGCAAACACACAGAGGAGAUUAUGGGGCAGAGUCAGGGAGGGUGUUUUUCAGGUGCUCGCGGAGGUUUCUAGUGCACCACCACUUAGGUUAAGCCCUCCUGGAGUUGUCUGCUAUGCUUUGGAAGUGUCCCUCAAAGGCCCAUGUGUCGAAACUCGAUCACUAACUGCUGGCACUAUUGGCAGGUGACUGACCCCAUCGCAAGUGAGGCCUAGUAGAGGAAGUGUGACCUAGGCCAACCUCUGCUUUCUCUCUGCUUCUUGGCUUUUGUGAGGCAAGUGUCUUUGUUCCACAAUGUGCUGCACACCAUGACAUGAGACAGGACCAGGAGCAAUGAGCCCAACUAAGCAAAGACCGAAACCUCUGUGUCGAUAGCCCAAAGUAAACUCUCUCUUUUUCACUUAUCUCAGGUACUCAUUCAUGUGUGGAAAGCCAAGAUCAAUUACACACGCUAUGUCAGAAGAGCUCAGGGCAACCAGCUCCCAGGACCCAAGAUUUUCCCACUCGCAUCAACCCUGGUAGGGUCAAGAGGGGUUUGUUACACAUAAGGAAAGAUGUUCCUCUCAACUCUGCCUCCUCGGGGAAUCUCAGGGGUCUUCGAAGCUGCGUGCCAAGAACCAGGAGCUAUUUUUUGCGGCUGUUACAGCUCUAACAGUUUUCUUGUCCCCGUCAGCAGGAGGCCCAGCAUUUUCAUUUCACAGUGAACCUUACAAAUUAGAAAUCAUAUGUAACCUACAGAAAUUGUGGCUUUGGUGGGCCACAGGAGAGGUGUCCAGCCUUCCUAAACCCAAACCACAACCCUUCGACUGUACUAUGAUGGAUACCAUCCUCACUCAGUAGAUGCAGGACAUUCACUUGUCAAAUUCCACCAGGAGCUGGGAACCCACUGAGAUUUUCCCAGGAGGCAACUGGUGCCAUUCUCUCUGUGGCUCUGGGAAGGUGAUUCUAUGUUGACUCAGUUCACACACACACACACAAAAAACUAGACACUCAAAGAGUACUCGGGCAGGACCAGCUUAAUAAAAGUAGGUGGUGGAAUGAGAUCAGAUGUGCCAUCGUCAAUUGGCAUGCCUCAGAGCAUAUGUAUAUUUCCAGUGCUGCUUCAAACCUGUCGUUACAAGUGUGGUGUUAAGCGGGAUUGGUUUAUACCACGUAUCCAAUCGCAACUGUAUCUACAAAGCACAUUAGUGUCUCCAAGUCACUGAGAAUUAUUCUUACCCAUCACUGACCAUUUCGAAUUCCAGUCUUAACAAGUGUAGGCCUGGCCGCCUCUUACGCCUGGCACAGCCUGGUACCCCUGUUUACUUCACUUUCUCGCUGUCGCUUUACUUCACUGUUGCCUUCCUGCCAAAUAUGCGUAAGCUGGUACAUAUUCUCAAUAGCAUGCUUACAUCCUCUCUGUGUGUUUCUCUCUGUCCCUCUGUCUGUGUGUGUGUGUGUAUCUGUCUAUCUGUCUCUCUGUUUCCCCUACACACACCCCCAAUCAUACUCUACUGCUCCAGAAGACAGAGGAUCUUAUAAGUACUGCUCAUUCCUAUUCCUCCAAACUGAGCUCAUGAUUCCUUUCAAUAGAUAGUGACUCUUUGGAGUCCACAGCUUCUCUAACUAGAGGGGAACCCUCAGAACCAGGCCCAGGGCAGAUGGCACAUAUCAUCCUCAGGAGCAGUGGCCCCCACACAAGCCUCACCUGAAUGAAGCCUCACACAGCAUUUCUCCCAGUGCUGCUGCAUGGUGUUGCUGAUCCAGCCUCCUGUGAAGAUGCACAGACCUCAGAGUCGGGAGCAUACAAGCGCUGGAGCUUCAUUUCAUGAUGGGACUUCCCAUCCCAUGGCUUAGGAAAGGCUAUUUCUGUUGAACAAGUGAUUAAGUAUUUCCAAAUGAAACAUUUUUGAAAACGUAAGAGUGAUGUUUUUCAUCUUGGGCCUCCUUCGCUCAGUUUCCGUGGUUCAGCAGCGCCACCCAGUGUUAAAAACAUUUCCGUGAGAAAAUUCUCCCCUUUGCCUUGUGAAAGUGAACCUGGGAGUGUCUUUGAGUAUCACAUGAGAAGAAAAUGGGCAUCCACAGAAUGGAUAACAAUACGCCUGGGCAGUUCAGAAAAAUUCUGACCUAGAAUGCCACCAAGAUCACCCAGGAAACAAAAGGACUUUCCAGUCCCACCCAAUUAAUAACAGGGGGCAAGCCAGAACUAGCCCAGUACAAAGUAGUCAGUAGCAUCCCGACAGUGAGGGCUAUAAAGACAAGAUCAUGUGGAUGACGGGUCAGUCGUGGCUGGACCAGAUCUCAGAGAUGACAUCUUUCACUUUAUACAUGAACUAAGACUAAGCAAAACUUCACAAUAUGCACAAGUCCACAGCCAAUGACUUUGUAGCUUAGAUAAAAGUGUGUACCAUUCACCUCCUGGGUCAUCAUUCUCCUCCAAAAUGUCAAAACUCAAGAUGACCUAGUGUGACAGUCCAUAAAGAAGUAUAUGGGGAAAGGUAAGAAUGAAAACAGCUGGGAGGCAGAGGCAGGAAGAUCUCAAGGAGCCAGCCUGGGUAACAGAAUCAGAUAUUGUCACCAAAAAAAUGAACAAGAAAAAAAAGGGAGAAUAUAUUUCUCAUCUCUAUGUCUUUUUUGAAACUCUAAUGUUAAAAUUCUUAAUGUUUGGAAAUAACAGAGUUCUAUAUAUAAAAUUAAUUAGAGAUAAAAACCAAGUGCUAGAAAUAGCUUGUUAUGCUAAAAUGAAAGUAGAGGCCGUGGAUAUGAAGCAAAUCAAGAGAUGUGCUGGAGACUCUCACAGGCUGGGUCCUUGUUCUGUGAUAAUCUGUUCUUUGUAUAGGAAAGGCCGUCCUUGAUCAGGGCCAGAGCUUAGACAUUUGCUUUCCCAACAGCAGUUACAUUUAUCCCACGAUGCUUAGAAUGUGUUUUGUUUCCUAAUGAGUGAAAAACAAGUGUUGUGAUGGAACCUAGCAACAUGGACAUGGAUGGAAGUCCUGUUGUUCAUCACCUGCACAGUUGGUCAACUUCCUUAGCCAUCAUGGUUCCUGAUGGCUUUAAUCUUUAACAGUGUGUGUGUGUGUGUGUGUGUGUGUGUGUGUGUGUGUGUGUGUGUGUGUGUAUGAGGUAAAGGAGUCAAAUCUCUUUCCACUCUAUGAGUUCUAGGUAUAGAACUCAAGAUGUCCAGCUUGGUAGCAAGUGUCUUUACAAGCUGAGUCAAUUCACAGGCGCCUCCUCCUGACAUAUCUUUAAAUAUAGCAAUUAAUGAAAAUAAGAUCAAGUUCGUGGCAUCCAGUAUUCAACUGAGAAUUGUUUUCUGACAUUAUACUGCAAGAUUCUCUAACAUGCAGAAAAAUUGGAAACAUUUUCCUAUAUGCAUAUACCAUCUCACUUCUGCAAUUCUUUUUCACUACACUGGAUUUAUAACAAUACAUAUAUCUAAUAUGCCUGUUCAUUGGUGAACCUGUUAUUUGUAAGUGCACUUCACAAGCUCAAACAUGAGUAAUUUUCUCCAUGACAUUUUAUUUUGGAAGUAAAACUCACAUGUAAUGAAACACAUUCUCUCUCUCUCUCUCUCUCUCUCUCUCUCUCUCUCUCUCUCUCUCUCUCCCUCCUUCUCUCUCUCAUUCUUACUCUCUUGCUCUUGUUCCGUGUGUGUGUGUGUGUGUGUGUGUGUGUGUGUGUGUGUGUGUAUGCAUGCAUAUGAGUGAAUGUGUGCAUGUGCACAUGUGUGUGCAGGUGGAGGCCAGAGGUCAUUCCUCAGAAGCUGUCCGCCUUGGUUUUUGAGACAAAGUCUCUUACUGGGCCUCACCAAUUAAGCUAAGUCGACUGAUCAGCAAGUACAAAGGAUCCACCUGUCUCUGCUCCCCCAGCACUGUGACUGCUUGCUCACACCGCUGUGUCCAGUGUCUUCUUAUGUGGGUUCUGGUGAGAGAAUUCAGGUCCUCCUAUUUGUGCAGCAGUGCUUGAUGACUGAGCUGGGACCCCACCACACAAAUAACUCAAGUGUACCAUCUGGAGAGUUCUGAAGAGUGCUCACACUCUACAACCCAAGCCUCUCUCGUGGCACCUGGAGCAUUGAUGCCACCCCCUAGAAUGUUUCCACAUGACCCCUUCCGGUAAACUCCUGAGCCAACAACCAAAGUGCAACCGCCACCCAGACUCCUCUCACCACGCAUUAGUUUUGCUCCCAUCAAAAGCUGGCCCGAUGGGACCCAGAGCCUGUGUUCUGUUAAGUGGAGGCUCUCACUCAUUAACCAACAAGAUUACACCCAGACAGGUACAGUCUCCAUUAGUGGUUGCUGCUGGCUUCCUAAGAAGUGUCACAUCUACAAGAUGACAAACGCAACCCCACAUACAAAUCAAGACUCUUGUGGGAUAGUGCAUCAGUCUGUCUUUUUCUUUCCUUAAGAUUUAUAUAUAUUAAUUAUACGCAAUAACGGGUUUCAUUGUGCAUUGUAAUAUAGGCAUCUAAAGUAUUUUAAUAAUAUUCACGCUCAUUACCCUCCCUCAUUCCUCUCCACUCUUGGUGAUUCUCUUACCAGUCUGUCCCUUUUGUAUUUUCAUCUGUUCUUUUAACCUAUUGUUUUUGCCUUGACAAUGAAGAGUUUGACCGCUAGAUGGCAGGAGGAACUCAUUGUAUCAUAUCCACUUCAGUGCGUAGCUCACUCCCUGUUCGCCUAUCUUGACAUUUGAUUAAAAACAUAGGUGCAAACAACAAUCAAGAGUGGCCAUAUUGAUGACUAGAAUUUAUGCACGGGAAAACUAAUAAGCAACUGAAGAAAUCCACAGAGGAGGCUAAUUACUAGAUGAGAGAUUCUUGAGUGUCUGUGCACCUGUUCGAGGGCUCUGGGCAGCUUCGGAUGGAGGUAUAGGGUGUGCUAGAUGAUGUGCCUCUGAGGACUGAUUGUGGAGUGCUGACUGCAGUCACAUAGUGAUAGCUAACAGCGUUCAGACGAAGGACUUUCACAUCUGCUUUAAAUAAAAUACUGUGAAAAGCCAGCGUAUUGACUCCAUCUCCACUGUCAAAUUAUGAUUUAAAUUCACAAGAAAGUAGACAAAGUGUGGAAGGCUUGCAUCUGGACCAUCAUAAAUAGCAUUAGCCACAUAUAAAAAUGAUUGAAGAAUUCAGAACACCCAGAGAGAAGUUAAGGGAAGGUGCCAGGGGCCAACUCAUAAUUUGUGGCAUUGAUAAUAAGGUGUGCAAUAUAGGAAAGGUUACACUAAUGUUAGCCACCAAGGAAAGCACUAAUAUGGAGGUUCUCAACCUUCCUGAUGCUGGGGCUCCUUCACACAGUUCUUCAUGUGAUGGUGACCACCAAAAAUAGUUAGUUUCGUUGCUACUUCGUAACUGUAAUUUUGCUACUGUUAUGAAUCACAGUGUAUACAUCAGAUACGCAGAUAGUCUUAGGUGACCCCUGUAAAAGGGUCAUUCGUGAUCCACAGGUUGAGAACCACUACUAAACAGAGCAAGAACAGAUUUAGGAGGCAAAACAUCUUCCCAGGAGAAGAAACAUGUGUUCUGGUUUGUUUUCUGUUGUGUGAUAGACACUAUGACCAAAAGCAACUUGGCAAUAAGAACUCUCUUUCAUCUACAGGACAUCAUCAAUGGAGGAAACUCAAGGCCAGAGCUUAAAGCAGAAACCAUAAAGGACCUCUGCUUAUUGGGUUGCUCACAGGCUACCUUUAUUAUAUAGCUCAGACCCAACUGCCUGGGGAUAGGACCACCCACAGUGGACUGAACCCUUCUUCAUCAAUUAGCGAUUAGGAAAAUGCUCCCACAGAUGUUCCUGAAGCCCGAACUGGUGGAGACAAUUCUUCAAUUGAAGUUCUUUCCCCCCAGAUGUGUCAAAUUGGCAACCAAGAUUAACCAUGCAAAUGUGUGACAAACUGAUUUUCCUUUAUUGCAUAUCCUUUCACUGAAUCAUUCACAUUGAAGGGUCAGAGGACAGUGAGAUCAAGCCAGUGGCUUGUUAGUCAGACUUUGAAACUUGCACCAUCUGUAGGUGCUCCAGGAUUUCCAUGUGAAAAGUUUAUUUGGGGAAGUGCUUAGAUAAACAUUAAAUAACAAUAGCUCAUGGUAGCCAAGUGCAUCCUGAAACACCAGCUGAUCUCUGUGAGGUUUUGAAUCACAUACUGCAAUUAGCUGCUCACAACUCCAGUAAAACCAAGAGAUUCUUAAAGUUACAGCAUUUCUUGGGGGCUCCCCUAUUGAGCCCUUCCUCACCUCACAGCCCACACAAAGCCUGUACCUACCCUAACACCCUCACAUAGCCACUCCUGGAUUCCCAGGUAGAUAUCCACAUUUAUUUUUCUUAACAAAUAAAUGUACUUAAGUAAAAAAGUGUGAAACAGUUUAAUUGAUUAUUUGAGAAUCUCACAGCAUGCAACCCAAUUGUGUUCACUUCCCAUGUGGCCUCCCCCUUCAAAAAAAAGUCCAUUUUGUGUUGUCCUAUAUUCACUGGAGCGUGGAGCAUGAUCAGAUUCCUAGUACCCAGCCCACCAAAGGAGGGUGAGUCUUUAUCCAUCAGCUGAGGAGAGCUGUGUGGUUGGUGUCCAAGGGUUUUAGCUCUCCUGCACCCCUACACCCACACCACCACCUGCACCACAGUGCUGAGGGCUGGUGAAGGGUGGGGCCAGCUCUGCUGUGAGGGGCAGGACCAGCUCUCCUGCCGCCCACACACAUUAGCAUGGCUUCAGGUAGCAGCCCUAACCACAGGCAUGGCCUUUGGUGGUAACACUGGCCACAGACAUCAACACGGCUCUUGGCCAUAUCAGGACCACUGUCCCACUCACGGCCCUCAGCGGCUGAUGACCAUGAGCCUCAACACUGCCUUAGGUGGCGACACAUGCCACUUACAUCAGCAUGGCUCCCCAAGGCAGCAAAGCCAAGGCAUGGGGCAGCGACACAGACUGCAAACAUCCACAUGGAUCUCAGGCUUCGUGGCGGUCCAGGCAGCAACAUGGACCUCCGACACCAACAUGCCCUCUGGUGGUAUUGAGGACCAUGGUGGUCCUUUGAGGAGGUCCAAUCCAGGAAGUGAAACUUUCCCAUCUCCGGCCUCCAACAUUGCCCAGAGCCAGGGGAAUCCCGCAGCCAGGUGGCAGGUUCAGGGCUGAGUCUGUGUCUGCAUAAGUUCCCGGCUGUUGUGCACCAUCCCACCAACCCUACCGGACAAUGACAGCAUGUCGACCUCAGCCUUCUCUCUCACCUGUCACCACCAUCAUGUCUCCAGGUCCACCUCUCCCUAGCAAGGGCACCACUCAGUUUUUCUGUCUUUGCUCUUCUCCAUCAAGUAUUUAUUGUAGUGGUGCCUGCCUACCCCAGGCAGCAGGGGCCCCAGGCAGCACUCAGGUGUGUCCAUCCACCUAGGCCACCUUUAAAACAUUUUUAAAGUGGUAACACAAUUAGCAUAAAUUAUAGAAAUGGCAGAAACAUGAGGGGAAUACACUAAUGACAGAAAGUUUAAAAAAAAUUACCUCCCAAAAGGAGCUCUUCUUAAAAUCAUAUGGUCAAUAUUUUAAAGAAACUAAUAGGUAAUUACAAUGCAAACUCUGGUCAAAGUUUUAAGUCCAUGUAUUUAUUUCAUAUUCUCUCUCUCUCUCUCUCUCUCUCUCUCUCUCUCUCUCUC